rnacentral:tRNA from 1 species
CUCUCGGUAGCCAAGUUGGUUUAAGGCGCAAGACUUUAAUUUAUCACUACGAAAUCUUGAGAUCGGGCGUUCGACUCGCCCCCGGGAGA